rnacentral:snRNA from 1 species
GUGCUUCCUUCAGAGGCACAUAUAUAAAAUUGGAAGGAUGCAGAGAUUAGCAUGGUCCCUGCAUAAGGAUUACACACAAAUUCCAUAUUUUUUCUAGAUUAGG